AUAUCAAUAAGCGGAGGAAAAGAAACCAACAGGGAUUACCCUAGUAACGGCGAGUGAAGCGGUAACAGCUCAAAUUUGAAAUCUGGCCUUCACAGGUCCGAGUUGUAAUUUGUAGAGGAAGUUUCGGGCAAGGCUGCGGUUUUAAGUUUCUUGGAACAGAACGUCAUAGAGGGUGAGAAUCCCGUCUAGAACCGAUGGCCGAGUUCAUGUGAAACUCCUUCGACGAGUCGAGUUGUUUGGGAAUGCAGCUCAAAAUGGGUGGUAAAUUUCAUCUAAAGCUAAAUAUUGGCCAGAGACCGAUAGCGCACAAGUAGAGUGAUCGAAAGAUGAAAAGCACUUUGAAAAGAGAGUUAAACAGUAUGUGAAAUUGUUGAAAGGGAAGCGCUUGCAACCAGACUUGUGUAUCUUGGUUCCCCCGCUCUUCUGACCGGGUUACUCCAUGAUAUCCAGGCUAGCAUCGGUUCGGGUGGUUGGUUAAAGGUUCUGGGAAUGUAUCUACCUUCGGGUCGACUUAUAGCCCAGGGCGUAAUGCAGCCUGCCUGGACCGAGGAACGCGCUUUUUGCUCGGAUGCUGGCGUAAUGGUUGUAAGCGG
rnacentral:rRNA from 1 species